rnacentral:rRNA from 1 species
AACAUUGGACAAUAGGUGAGAGCCUGAUCCAGCCAUCCCGCGUGUAGGAAGAAGGCCUUAUGGGUUGUAAACUGCUUUUAUACGGGGAUAAACCACUUUACGGGUAAGGUGUCGAUGGUCCGGUAUGAACAAGCAUCGGCUAACUCCGUGCCCGCAGCCGCGGUAAUACGGAGGAUGCAAGCGUUAUCCGGAUUUAUUGGGUUUAAAGGGUCCGUAGGCGGUCAUAUAAGUCAGAGGUGAAAUCCGACAGCUUAACUGUCGAACUGCCUUUGAAACUGUAUGUCUUGAGUGAGAUAGAAGCAGCUGGAAUGUGUAGUGUAGCAGUGAAAUGCAUAGAUAUUACGCGGAACACCGAUAGCGUAGGCAGGUUGCUAAGUCAUUACUGACGCUGAUGGACGAAAGCGUGGGGAGCAAACA